UACGGGGGGGGCAAGCGUUGCUCGGAAUUACUGGGCGUAAAGGGUUCGUAGGUGGCCCGCUAAGUCACACGUGAAAUCCCUCAGCUUAACUGGGGAACUGCGUGUGAGACUGGCAGGCUUGAGUGCAGGAGAGGAACGCGGAAUUCCAGGUGUAGCGGUGAAAUGCGUAGAUAUCUGGGGGAACACCGGUGGCGAAGGCGGCGUUCUGGACUGUAUCUGACACUGAGGAACGAAAGCCAGGGGAGCAAACGGG
rnacentral:rRNA from 1 species